rnacentral:rRNA from 1 species
GAUUAAGUUAUUAAGGGCGCACGGUGGAUGCCUUGGCACUAGAAGCCGAUGAAGGACGUUACUAACGACGAUAUGCUUUGGGGAGCUGUAAGUAAGCUUUGAUCCAGAGAUUUCCGAAUGGGGAAACCCAGCAUGAGUUAUGUCAUGUUAUCGAUAUGUGAAUACAUAGCAUAUCAGAAGGCACACCCGGAGAACUGAAACAUCUUAGUACCCGGAGGAAGAGAAAGAAAAUUCGAUUCCCUUAGUAGCGGCGAGCGAAACGGGAAGAGCCCAAACCAACAAGCUUGCUUGUUGGGGUUGUAGGACACUCUAUACGGAGUUACAAAGGACGACAUUAGACGAAUCAUCUGGAAAGAUGAAUCAAAGAAGGUAAUAAUCCUGUAGUCGAAAAUGUUGUCUCUCUUGAGUGGAUCCUGAGUACGACGGAGCACGUGAAAUUCCGUCGGAAUCUGGGAGGACCAUCUCCUAAGGCUAAAUACUCUCUAGUGACCGAUAGUGAACCAGUACCGUGAGGGAAAGGUGAAAAGCACCCCGGAAGGGGAGUGAAAUAGAACCUGAAACCGUGUGCUUACAAGUAGUCAGAGCCCGUUAAUGGGUGAUGGCGUGCCUUUUGUAGAAUGAACCGGCGAGUUACGAUUUGAUGCAAGGUUAAGCAGUAAAUGUGGAGCCGUAGCGAAAGCGAGUCUGAAUAGGGCGUUUAGUAUUUGGUCGUAGACCCGAAACCAGGUGAUCUACCCUUGGUCAGGUUGAAGUUCAGGUAACACUGAAUGGAGGACCGAACCGACUUACGUUGAAAAGUGAGCGGAUGAACUGAGGGUAGCGGAGAAAUUCCAAUCGAACCUGGAGAUAGCUGGUUCUCUCCGAAAUAGCUUUAGGGCUAGCCUCAAGUGAUGAUUAUUGGAGGUAGAGCACUGUUUGGACGAGGGGCCCCUCUCGGGUUACCGAAUUCAGACAAACUCCGAAUGCCAAUUAAUUUAACUUGGGAGUCAGAACAUGGGUGAUAAGGUCCGUGUUCGAAAGGGAAACAGCCCAGACCACCAGCUAAGGUCCCAAAAUAUAUGUUAAGUGGAAAAGGAUGUGGCGUUGCCCAGACAACUAGGAUGUUGGCUUAGAAGCAGCCAUCAUUUAAAGAGUGCGUAAUAGCUCACUAGUCGAGUGACACUGCGCCGAAAAUGUACCGGGGCUAAACAUAUUACCGAAGCUGUGGAUUGUCCUUUGGACAAUGGUAGGAGAGCGUUCUAAGGGCGUUGAAGCAUGAUCGUAAGGACAUGUGGAGCGCUUAGAAGUGAGAAUGCCGGUGUGAGUAGCGAAAGACGGGUGAGAAUCCCGUCCACCGAUUGACUAAGGUUUCCAGAGGAAGGCUCGUCCGCUCUGGGUUAGUCGGGUCCUAAGCUGAGGCCGACAGG